GCCAGAGUGCUGAAAUCGGUAUACAGGUUAGUCUCAAAAACUAAUGGCCCCAAAAGGCCGUGUGGGUUCGAGUCCCACCUCUGGCACCA
rnacentral:tRNA from 1 species